rnacentral:rRNA from 1 species
GAUGAACGCUGGCGGUGUGCCUAAUACAUGCAAGUCGAGCGAACAGACGAGGAGCUUACUCCUCUGACGUUAGCGGCGGACGGGUGAGUAACACGUGGAUAACCUACCUAUAAGACUGGGAUAACUUCGGGAAACCGGAGCUAAUACCGGAUAACAUGUUGAACCGCAUGGUUCAACAGUGAAAGACGGUCUUGCUGUCACUUAUAGAUGGAUCCGCGUCGCAUUAGCUAGUUGGUAAGGUAACGGCUUACCAAGGCAACGAUGCGUAGCCGACCUGAGAGUGUGAUCGGCCACACUGGAACUGAGACACGGUCCAGACUCCUACGGGAGGCAGCAGUAGGGAAUCUUCCGCAAUGGGCGAAAGCCUGACGGAGCAACGCCGCGUGAGUGAAGAAGGUCUUCGGAUCGUAAAACUCUGUUAUUAGGGAAGAACAAAUGUGUAAGUAACUAUGCACGUCUUGACGGUACCUAAUCAGAAAGCCACGGCUAACUACGUG